UACGUAGGGUGCGAGCGUUGUCCGGAAUUAUUGGGCGUAAAGAGCUUGUAGGCGGUCUGUCGCGUCUGCUGUGAAAAUCCGGGGCUCAACCCCGGACUUGCAGUGGGUACGGGCAGACUAAAGUGUGGUAGGGGAGACUGGAAUUCCUGGUGUAGCGGUGAAAUGCGCAGAUAUCAGGAGGAACACCGAUGGCGAAGGCGGGUCUCUGGGCCGAUACUGACGCUGAGGAGCGAAAGCGUGGGGAGCGAACAGG
rnacentral:rRNA from 1 species